rnacentral:misc_RNA from 1 species
UGUUUGUACAUCAAUUUUCAAUUUUUCUGGACUUUUUUUUUCGUAAAAAUGUUAAUAAUUUUUCAUUACUUUGGGAUUUUAUUUUUUCAAAUAUUAAAAAAUAGAAAAAGACUUAAGAUUAAGCGGAAUGAGGACCUAUCGGUAGCUAUUGAUUCCGAAGAAAAUCUAAAAUUCGAUCCUCCCGUUUACAGGCAGAGAUUUCGUAAAAUCUGUGAAAUCCUAUCAGAGGAAAAGUGGAAAAGCCAGCUGAAAAAAAUCGUAGAUUUUGGCUGUGCAGAAUUUGGCUUGUUUGUUUAUCUCAAAAAUUUAACAUUGGAAGAGGUCCUCUUUAUAGAUAUUGAUGAGGAAAUAUUGGAAGAAAAGGUCUACCGAGUGAGACCACUUUUAGUUGAUCAGUUGCAAAAGCGUCAGACCCCUUUGGAAAUUUUUGUUUUCAGGGGGAGUAUAGUAGAUCCUGAUUAUAGACUUCGGAAGACUGAUGUAGUUACUGCUAUAGAAUUAAUAGAACAUCUGUAUCCAGACACAUUAGAGGCCUUACCUUAUAAUAUUUUUUUUUUCAUGAGGCCAAAGAUAGUGAUAAUUACAACUCCAAAUGCAGAUUUUAACGUAAUGUUUAAUCAUUUGACAUUUAGACAUCCAGAUCACAAAUUUGAGUGGUCAAGAGAGCAGUUUGAAGAUUGGGCAAAAAAUAUUAUUCACAGAUUUCCAGAAUACACAGUCAAUUUUCAUGGGAUUGGAGAUCUACCAGAUGCUCCCAAAAACAUAGGUUCUUGCUCACAAGCAGCACUUUUUAUAAGAAAAGACAUGCUUAACAUUAAGUACAUAUCUCCUAUAUACGCAGCAGCCUGCCGUUGUGAUAAAAAUAGUCUUUGCAAAGGCAAGACUAUAGAAAGUAAACUACUGUGCACAUGUCUGUGUGCAUUCUGUCUUCCAGAUAUUAGUGUCGGAAUUUGCACUUACUUCAGCUGUAAUUUAACAGAAAUACAAACUUAUCGGCCUAUGAAAACCGAUUCAAAGAAGUCACUAAGUGAUACAGAUUUAUUACAAACUGUCCAAAUGUCAUAUCAUUCGGUUAGCAAAGAUAAAAUAACUGAGGCACUCAACCCAUCCUGUAACAUAUUUUAUAAGUUGGUAGAAAAGGUUGUGUACCCAUAUGAAGUAGAUGAAAGAUCUGAAAAUGAUAAGAUUUUGGAGCUGUUUAAAUAUAGGGUUAACGUUUUUAGUCAUGUAAAUAGUAGGUUUUAUAUGGAGGAUUCUCAACGAUGUGAAAUACCAAUAGAGGAAUUACUGUAUGGAAAUGUUGAAGUAUCUCCACAUAAAGCCAGAAAUCUACUUCGCGAGGGCGGGUUUACAGUAGAAAAAUGUAUCGCACCAGAGUCAGGAGACAGUAAAUACUGCAUAAUAUCGACGCCUCGAGAAAUGGAAAAUAUUACCAGUAGCUCUGAAGUUACUGAUAAUUAUAGCUCAAAAAGUAGUGACUGCAACGAACCUAUCCAAUUUGAAGCAAAUAAUGAUCAUCUAUCUGAUUGGGACGAAGUCCCAUUUGAAACCAAAGAUAUGAAGGCAGCUACGUCUUCGGCGGUUGAGCAAGGCCCAACCACAUCUAUAGAGCAACCAAAAAAACCACCAGAUCCGCUAUUUGAUUCCGGAUAUUUAAAGUCGCCAUCGCCUUUAGAGUCGAAUCCGCAACUUCCACAGUUGACACAAGACAACCUUGAAGCGGCAGAAACCGAUCAAUUUGAAGAAAUUGUCAGUACACCGAACUUGCAUAGUAACGAUAAUAAGUUGCAUUUGAAAAAAACUAUUGCUAAGGAGAAAUUUGUUCCUGAAAGUCAGAGAGUUAAGCUAGAUCCGCACAGAAUCAACGAACUCGAUAGGUUUUAUAACAUGUGCACUGUUAAAACUUUCAUGAAUAAUCAUCUGAAACCCCAAAAUGAAUUUAAGAAAAGUAAUUUUAAGGAUUUUAGCGUUGCCGGGACUUCUAGUAACUGGAAAAAGACUAGGAGGCCGAGAGAUAAAGAAAAAAAAGUACCCGAGAAAAAAGAACUGGAAGAACCUACAAUUCUGGACGAUGCCAGGAGCUUAACAAAUUGUAUCGUUCAAAAUAGUCUUAACAAGGUGGAAGUAAAAGAGGAAGUGUUUUACGGGCCACAUUCACUUGUAAUAAGGGAUUUCAGCCCUGUACAAGAACGAAUAGGCCUUGCGGAGGUUAUACCGCGAGAGCCAGUAAUCGGAAUUAUUCCCCACCCCAUUCCGCUUCCGCCGAUAGAAGUACAACCAGCUCAAGGAGUCGAAAACGGAGAUCUUGCCAAUAAUAAUAGAGAUAAUGAAGGAAAUAACUUGGGAGAAGGAAUUGAAGAUCUUGACAUAGAUGAAGGUAUUGAUUUAUUAAAUGACAAUCUUGAAGACAUAGUCCCACUCUUAGAAGACAAUGUUAAUCCGAUUGAAAAUAACAACGAUGUGAUAGUGGAACAGCCUCAAAUAGUUAGAGAGGAAGCAGAAAUACCUGUACGAGAAGGAAAUGCGAUGAAUGGAGAGGAUGAUGUUAGAGGAGCAGAUGCGGAAGACAUAACCGAAACAAUAGCCCAAGCUAGCAGAGAGGCCCUGUAUGACGAAAACUCGGAACAAGACUUACUUGAAGACUUUGACGUGCCACCACAGGCCGUGAAUCCCGAAGAGAUUUCAGACGUUUUAGCUAGUGCUAACGUUAUAUUGGUGGGCGUAAACCAUAUUAGUUCCACCGCACUGGAAAGGGAAGCAACACAAUCAGCAGGUAAAAAUCGCAGCGACAAUUCAAACACACCUCGGUAGUUUUCCAAGUUGGUUGCUGCAAAUUUUAGGGACUCAAAUGGUGUCUGAGGAAGAAGGCAACGUGGCACCGGGUAGUCAUGACGAACCGCAUUUUUAUUGCCAAGGAGAUGGCUUAGGCGUUCAUCCAUCGGUAAUGGCUCUCGAAGUAGAUGAGGCAGAGGAUGCAGAUGACGACACC